rnacentral:rRNA from 1 species
GUGCCAGCCGCCGCGGUAAUACCGGCAGCACGAGUGAUGGCCGCUAUUAUUGGGCCUAAAGCGUCCGUAGCCGGCCGGGCAAGUCCGUCGGGAAAUCCACCCGCUUAACGGGUGGGCGUCCGGCGGAAACUGCUCGGCUUGGGACCGGAGGACCCGAGGGGUACGUCCGGGGUAGGAGUGAAAUCCCGUAAUCCCGGAUGGACCGCCGGUGGCGAAAGCGCCUCGGGAGGACGGAUCAGACGGUGAGGGACGAAAGCUAGGGUCUCGAACCGGAUUAGAUACCCGAGUAUCC